CAGGCUGCCGGUUGAUCCGUCUUGUGUCUGCAAUAACCCGAACGUAGUCUAGUAAGGUUUGCUCAAGUGAGAUGGAAAAUGAAGAGGUCGGCUCCAAAACAAGCUUGUGACUGCUUUGCUUUGACAGAGGGAGAUGCAAAUAAAAGAGGAUUGGUGACUUCUCCACCAGCUGCUAUUGGCCGUCCGGACCUCUUUGGGUUGCAGUGUUAGAUGUGCUCUUGUAUGGGAACUGUUGAAUCACGGCCUGAACCUCUGAUUGACCACCUGAGGCGAGCGCUGAGUCAGCUGCAGGGGCACAGGUGAACACAGUUUCACCUGAGUGACCGGAA